UACGUAGGGUGCGAGCGUUGUCCGGAAUUAUUGGGCGUAAAGAGCUCGUAGGCGGUUUGUCGCGUCUGCUGUGAAAACCGGAGGCUCAACCUCCGGCCUGCAGUGGGUACGGGCAGACUAGAGUGCGGUAGGGGAGAUUGGAAUUCCUGUUGUAGCGGUGGAAUGCGCAGAUAUCAGGAGGAACACCGAUGGCGAAGGCAGAUCUCUGGGCCGUAACUGACGCUGAGGAGCGAAAGCAUGGGGAGCGAACAGG
rnacentral:rRNA from 1 species